rnacentral:rRNA from 1 species
GACGAACGCUGGCGGCGUGCUUAACACAUGCAAGUCGAACGAAGUGGCGAACGGGUGAGUAAUACGUGGGUAACCUGCCCUCCUUUUUGGGAUAAGCCUUGGAAACGGGGUCUAAUACCGCAUAAUGGGGGAUGGGCUCGCGGCCUAUCAGCUGGUUGGUGGGGUGAUGGCCUAACAAGGCGGUGACGGUGAGCUGGCCUGAGAGGGUGACCGGCCACGAUGGGACUGAGAUACUGCGCCGACACCGACGGGAGGCAGUAGGGGGGAAUAAUGCACAAUAGGGGAAAGGCUGAUGCAGCGACGCCGCGUGCGGGAUGACGGCCUUCGGGUUGUGAGCCGCGUUCAGCCAUGACGCGGUAGUGGCAGAAGAAGCACAGGUUAACUACGUGCCAGCAGCCGCGGUAAUAC